rnacentral:rRNA from 1 species
GUGGGGAAUAUUGGACAAUGGGCGAAAGCCUGAUCCAGCCAUGCCGCGUGUGUGAAGAAGGUCUUCGGAUUGUAAAGCACUUUAAGUUGGGAGGAAGGGCAUUAACCUAAUACGUUAGUGUUUUGACGUUACCGACAGAAUAAGCACCGGCUAACUUCGUGCCAGCAGCCGCGGUAAUACGAAGGGUGCAAGCGUUAAUCGGAAUUACUGGGCGUAAAGCGCGCGUAGGUGGUUCAGUAAGUUGGAUGUGAAAUCCCCGGGCUCAACCUGGGAACUGCAUCCAAAACUGCUGAGCUAGAGUACGGUAGAGGGUGGUGGAAUUUCCUGUGUAGCGGUGAAAUGCGUAGAUAUAGGAAGGAACACCAGUGGCGAAGGCGACCACCUGGACUGAUACUGACACUGAGGUGCGAAAGCGUGGGGAGCAAACAGGAUUAGAAACCCUUGUAGUCC